rnacentral:rRNA from 1 species
UAAUACAGAAGUCUCAAGCGUUGUUCGGAUUCAUUGGGCGUAAAGGGUGCGUANGCGGCGCGGUAAGUCGGGUGUGAAAUCUCGGAGCUUAACUCCGAAACUGCAUUCGAUACUGCCGUGCUUGAGGACUGGAGANGAGACUGGAAUUUACGGUGUAGCGGUGAAAUGCGUAUAUAUCGUAAGGAAGACCAGUGGCGAAGGCGGGUCUCUGGACAGUUCCUGACGCUGANGCACGAAGGCCAGGGGAGCAAACGGGAUUAGAUACCCCGGUAGUCCUGGCAGUAAACGGUGCACCUUUGGUGUGGGAGGAUUCGACCCCUUCCGUGCCGGAGCUAACGCGUUAAACCUUGCCGCCUGGUGGAGUACGGUCCGCAAGAUUAAAACUCACACAAAUUGACGGGGGCCCGCACAAGCGGUGGAGUAUGUGGCUUAAUUCCAUGCAACGCGAAGAACCUUUAUCCAUGGCCCUGACAUGCAUCUCUUAGUUGGUGAAAGCCACG